rnacentral:tRNA from 1 species
GCGCGAGUGGCGGAAUUGGUAGACGCGCAUGCUUGAGGGGCAUGUGACCCUAGGUCAUGAGAGUUCAAGUCUCUCCUCGCGCA